UUGUAAUAGGUAACACUGUUAGAAAUGUGGAUUUUAGUCACGGACACGGUUUUAGAUAUACAGGUUACUCAACGGAGCUCAACCGCUAGGCGCCAGCCCUAGCGUGACGUGUGUCAUCACUGCGGUACACUGCACUUUCACGGUGCGACUUUUUAUUUCAGGCUUACUCGUAGGAACAAUACGGCCAAUACGGGGAACACCCGAAAACUAGAGAAAACCGGCUCGAAAAAUUGGAAAAAACAAAUGAAUCAGAAACUGGAAAAAUUUGUGAGAAUGGAAAACGGAACCACAACACCCAAUAUGAAGCAGGGUCAAAUGUUCUUAUUGAAAAAAUAGCUUGGGUGACCCCAUGAACAUUAGAUUAUUAUCAGAUAUUCUCUAGUGAAUUCCACCAUAGUCAUUAGUCACCCACCCUCACACCGCUUAGUCAGCAUCAUAGACCUAAACAUUCGACCAAAAUGAUGAUGAUGAGACCGACAACGAUACUGAGACUGAUGAUGAUGAUGGAGACGGCGACGAUGAUUACAAUGACGAUAUACUCGGAAAAUCUUCUAAUCGGAAAGAUACUAGUAUCUAUAUCCGUGACCACACCACCACCGGUGUCAUGCAGUCAUGCUUUCUCAUGACUGAAGAAUAGACGGUGGACAUGGACUACAUAGGCCGUCGAUCACUGGCUUCUGCGGGCCACUGCAGCUGCGGCACAAACUUCAAUUUAAUAUCCAGUCGUCCCCUGAGCUCAGUAUACCGUGGAGUGAACUCUUUCCCGCCCGUGCAGUCGGCAGAAAUCCCACGUGAACCUGCACGCAGAUCAGUUUGGAAGAGAUCUAAAAGAUGCGUGUGGCAAUGUUUGGUGAACGUCGCACGCAGAAUAAUGUGAACUUUGGGGCCUGUCGAUGUGCCUGAACACAUUCUCCGACCACCAAUGUUGCUACGGGUUUCGCGGACGUAGUGCACUCGGUCGACGUUGACGUGCUACUCGUGCCAGAGUAGCCAGACUCUGGGUGUUCGGCGACCGUCCUGCAGCACUACGGUCGCGUGGAGCCACGGCCAACAAAGACGACGGUACGGCGGCUGAUAGAGGUACCGGUGCUGACAACGAUCCCGCGCCGACGAUGACGACUCAUAGCGGCGACUGCGGAGACUUAUGGCGCGUGGUGAGUGGUAGAGACUAGAGAUGUGUCUUGGUCACAAGGAUCACGGUCCACGGAAGUCAGCUCCGUCCAUCAAAGCUCACAACAUCGCGCACUAGCCGCCGUCGACCAUUGCUCCCAUGGCCUUCUCGGUCAGACCUCGCCGGCCGAGCAAGUUUGUCACUCAUCCGCCGGACCGGUCGUGGGAACGUUGUGGAGGUGACCAGUAGCCAAACGUACAAAUUUGCACCCAAUCGCCAUAUCGUACAUUCAUCUCCUUGUGUCUCCUGACCGGUGUUUUUUUUUUUUAGUAGCACGUUUGCU